rnacentral:tRNA from 1 species
AAAACGAUAAGCUAAUUAAGCUAGUGGGUUCAUACCCCACCUAUAAAGGCUUUAAUCCUUUUCUUUUUA